UACGGAGGGGGCUAGCGUUGUUUGGAAUUACUGGGCGUAAAGCGCGCGUAGGCGGACCUGCAAGUCGGGGGUGAAAGCCCGAGGCUCAACCUCGGAACUGCCUUCGAUACUGCGGGUCUCGAGUCCGGGAGAGGUGAGUGGAAUUCCUAGUGUAGAGGUGAAAUUCGUAGAUAUUAGGAAGAACACCAGUGGCGAAGGCGGCUCACUGGCCCGGUACUGACGCUGAGGCGCGAAAGCGUGGGGAGCAAACAGG
rnacentral:rRNA from 1 species